rnacentral:rRNA from 1 species
GACGAACGCUGGCGGCGUGCUUAACACAUGCAAGUCGAACGGAAGGAUCCUGCUUGUGUGGGGUGCUCGAGUGGCGAACGGGUGAGUAACACGUGAGUAACCUGCCCUUGACUUUGGGAUAACUUCAGGAAACUGGGGCUAAUACCGGAUAGGAGCUCCUGCUGCAUGGUGGGGGUUGGAAAGUUUCGGCGGUUGGGGAUGGACUCGCGGCUUAUCAGCUUGUUGGUGGGGUAGUGGCUUACCAAGGCUGUGACGGGUAGCCGGCCUGAGAGGGUGACCGGCGACAUGGGGACUAAGAGACGCACCAGACUGGUACGGGAGGCAGUAGUGGGGAAUAUUGCACAAUGGGCCGAAGCCUGAUGCAGCGACGCCGCGGGCGGGAUGACGGCCUUCGGGGUGUAAACAGCAUUCGCCUGUGACGACGCGUGAGUGACGGUAAUGGGUAAAGAAGCACCGGCUAACUACGUG